GACGAACGCUGGCGGCGUGCUUAACACAUGCAAGUCGAACGGAAAGGCCCUGCUCUUGUGGGGUGCUCGAGUGGCGAACGGGCGAGUAACACGUGAGUAACCUGCCCUUGACUUUGGGAUAACAUCAGGAAACUGGGGCUAAUACCGGAUAGGAUCUCCUGCUCCAUGUGGGUGGUUGGAAAGUUUCGGCGGUUGUGGAUGGAUUCGCGGCUUAUCAGCUUGUUGGUGUGGUAGUGGCUUACCAAGGCUUUGACGGGUAGCCGGCCUGGGAGGGGGACCGGCCACAUUGGGACUGAGGUACGGCCCAGACUCGAACGGGAGGCAGCGGUGGGGAAUAUUGCACAAUGGGGGGAAGCCUGAUGCAGCAGCGCCCCGUGCGGGAUGACGGCCUUCGGGUUGUAAACCGCUUUGGACUUUGACGAAGCGUGAGUGACGGUAAUGGGUAAAGAAGCACCGGCUAACUACGUG
rnacentral:rRNA from 1 species